AGCGAACGCUGGCGGCGUGCUUAACACAUGCAAGUCGAACGGAUCCGGGGGGCAACCCUCGGAUUAGUGGCGAACGGGUGAGUAACACGUGGGUAAUCUCCCCCCGAGUGAGGAAUAAGCUUGCGAAAGCGGGUCUAAUACCGCAUGACGUCCCGGGGCGUAUGCACUAGGACUAAAGCCGGAAGGCGCUUGGGGAUGAGCCUGCGUCCUAUUAGCGAGUUGGUAGGGUAACGGCCUACCAAGGCGAUGAUGGGUAGCCGGCCGGAGAGGGUGAACGGCCACACUGGAACUGAGACACGGUCCAGACUCCUACGGGAGGCAGCAGUGGGGAAUAUUGGACAAUGGGCGCAAGCCUGAUGCAGCAACGCCGCGUGAGGGACGAAGGCCUUCGGGUUGUAAACUGCUUUUGCACGGAACGAAACGGUCCUGGUUAAUACCCGGGGCUAAUGACGGUACCGUAAGAAUAAGCACCGGCUAACUAC
rnacentral:rRNA from 1 species